AGUGAACGCUGGCGGUAGGCCUAACAAAUGCAAGUCGAACGGCAGCACAGUAAGAGCUUGCUCUUACGGGUGGCGAGUGGCGGACGGGUGAGGAAUACAUCGGAAUCUACUUUUUCGUGGGGGAUAACGUAGGGAAACUUACGCUAAUACCGCAUACGACCUACGGGUGAAAGCAGGGGAUCUUCGGACCUUGCGCGAUUGAAUGAGCCGAUGUCGGAUUAGCUAGUUGGCGGGGUAAAGGCCCACCAAGGCGACGAUCCGUAGCUGGUCUGAGAGGAUGAUCAGCCACACUGGAACUGAGACACGGUCCAGACUCCUACGGGAGGCAGCAGUGGGGAAUAUUGGACAAUGGGCGCAAGCCUGAUCCAGCCAUACCGCGUGGGUGAAGAAGGCCUUCGGGUUGUAAAGCCCUUUUGUUGGGAAAGAAAAGCAGCAGGUUAAUACCCCGCUGUUCUGACGGUACCCAAAGAAUAAGCACCGGCUAACUUCGUG
rnacentral:rRNA from 1 species